AAUAGAUACCCAGGUAGUCCACGCCGUAAACGAUGAGUGCUAAGUGUUAGAGGGUUUCCGCCCUUUAGUGCUGCAGCUAACGCAUUAAGCACUCCGCCUGGGGAGUACGGUCGCAAGACUGAAACUCAAAGGAAUUGACGGGGGCCCGCACAAGCGGUGGAGCAUGUGGUUUAAUUCGAAGCAACGCGAAGAACCUUACCAGGUCUUGACAUCCUCUGACAACUCUAGAGAUAGAGCGUUCCCCUUCGGGGGACAGAGUGACAGGUGGUGCAUGGUUGUCGUCAGCUCGUGUCGUGAGAUGUUGGGUUAAGUCCCGCAACGAGCGCAACCCUUGAUCUUAGUUGCCAGCAUUUAGUUGGGCACUCUAAGGUGACUGCCGGUGACAAACCGGAGGAAGGUGGGGAUGACGUCAAAUCAUCAUGCCCCUUAUGACCUGGGCUACACACGUGCUACAAUGGAUGGUACAAGGGCUGCAGACCGCGAGGUCAAGCCAAUCCCAUAAAACCAUUCUCAGUUCGGAUUGUAGG
rnacentral:rRNA from 1 species